AGUCCACUGAGUCCAAUUACCGCUGCCUGAAUGAAGAUCAGCAACCUUCCCGUGGCCACAUCCCCACAGAAAAAGGUCUCCUCCUCCCUCAGCAGCCAUUGGCUGCCAAUCAUCUUAAUGAUCUUUAAACAUACAAGCUCAGUGGAUUAACUACGUUAAUAUCUUGGGAGCUCCCGUUUCCACUCACCCCCAGAAUUUGUUCUAUCUUGAAAAAUCUAUGCUCAUUAAGUAA
rnacentral:lncRNA from 1 species